UUGAAAUGUAAAUAAAUAAAAUAAUAAGAAAGAAAGAAAACGGGAAACAUCUCUAAAUAAUGUGUGCAACCUAAAGAAAGUGUUACUUGUCCCAUUAAACCAGGUUCAGGUAGUAGGGUUCUACAUUAGGAAGAAAAGUUGCUGGGAAGUCAGUGUUAAGUCUCCAGUUCCAGCUGAUGACUGACCCACUUGCUGUAUAGCCUAGGCCGUCCUGAAGUUUACUAUGUAGCCCAGACAUUCCAGGAACUGCAGCUCUUCCUGCCUCAGCUUCCAUACACCUUGUUACAGACCACGCGCUCUUUUUACCCCUUCAUUUCCCCUUCCCUCCAAGGUAUUGUUUCCCAGACUGACCUCAAACUCUUGAGUUUCACAGCAGUCUUCUAUCUCACUCCCUGGGACUAUAGCAUUCAUCUGUAAAAUCUGAGUUUUUUCUCCCAGCCCCAAGCUCCCUGAAUAAUGACCGUGAGACUCAAAUUGUACUCACAAAUACCUAAGCUGUAAGCUUUGGCUGUUCCCCAACCAUCUCAUGAAUUAAUAUCCCAUUUAUUUUAAUUUAUUUUAACCACACGGCCAGCUACCUCUGUUCAGGUCCCAUGCCCUUCCUUCCUGUUCUGGUGGGGAGCUGGGGGGGGGGGCUUCCUCCUCUAUCCCAGAAUCCUUUCUUCCUACCGGAUGUCUCACCUUCUAUUUCCUGUCUCAGCUACAAGCCAGUCAGCUUUAAUUGACAGGUGUAGCAUUCAUACUGUACACAGAUUUUCUCUGUGAGUGUCACUGUAGCUGGAUAUCCUUCAAGCCUAUACCACUUAAGAUCUCUGAACUGCUGGUGGCUGUGAAGUGAGAGUGCUCAAAGGAGACUUGACAGUAACAGUUCUGAGAUCCAGCAAGUUCUGGUAAUCCCUGACAGAACAGGGAGGCAAGACAAGAAAGGAUUGCAAAAUCAAAGAUAAAACAAAGAGUUAUCGCUACAAAUAUUUCUUCAGAAAAGGUCAGCGUCAAGAGAUAAAUUAUCAGAUAUAAAAGCAACAUAAAGACUAAUUUUUGUAUGUAGGCCAUAAAAAUACUUUUAAAAUAUAUCUCUUUUGUUAGUAUCCAAACUGUAAAGUAUAUAAGAAUAAAUUUAACAAAAUAUCUGCAAAAUCUUUACAGAAAAUUAUAAAAAUGUUUGCAUACAUUAAAGGAAAAUAGCUUAAACUAGUUAAGGAAUAAAAUCUGUGGGUGAGGAAGUUCAGUAUGUGAAGACGCCAGCUCUCCUCAGCCUGACGCACAGAUUCAAUGCAAUUCCAAUAAAAAUCCCAACAGGUUUUGUGUGGAACUUGACAAGCUGACUCUAAAAUUUUUAUGGAGGAGAAAAGAGUCAAGACUAGCCAAGACAAUCCAGAAGAAGAA
rnacentral:sRNA from 1 species